rnacentral:sRNA from 1 species
UAUCUACGAUUGAUAGCUCUAGGUUUCGC